rnacentral:rRNA from 1 species
UACGUAGGGGGCAAGCGUUGUCCGGAUUUACUGGGUGUAAAGGGUGCUCAGGUGGUCUUGUAAGUCAGAGGUGAAAUCCCGGAGCUUAACUCCGGAACUGCCUUUGAUACUACAAGGCUUGAGUAUGGAAGAGGUUGAUGGAAUUUCGGGUGUAGCAGUGAAAUGCGUAGAUAUCCGAAAGAACACCAGUGGCGAAGGCGGUCAACUGGUCCAUUACUGACACUAAAGCACGAAAGCGUGGGUAGCGAACAGG